GUACGGGGGGCAAGCGUUGUUCGGAAUUACUGGGCGUAAAGGGCGCGUAGGCGGUUCGCUAAGUUGGAUGUGAAAACUCUGGGCUUAACCCAGAGCCUGCAUCCAAACUGGCGAACUGGAGUACUGGAGGGAAAGCGGAAUUCCUGGUGUAGCGGUGAAAUGCGUGAGAUAUCUGGAGGAAUACCGGUGGCGAAGGCGGCAUCCUGGACCGACAUUGACGCUGAACGGCGAAAGCUAGGGAGCAAACGGG
rnacentral:rRNA from 1 species